rnacentral:lncRNA from 1 species
GCCGCUGCCUGUCUGUCCUCACCUAGAGCCACUGGGGCUGGCUCCACCAUGUUCUCUCGGAAGAAGCGAGAACUUAUGAAAACUCCCUCUAUUUCCAAAAAGAACCGCGCGGGGAGCCCCAACCCGCAGUCCUCCUCAGGGGAGCUGCCUCGGAAAGACUGUACAGAAACUCCUAGCCUGGAGCCACCAGCCAUGUCCCUGUCCACGGUGGCCAAGGGCACAGGAACACUCAAAAGGCCAACCAGCCUGAGCCGCCAUGCCAGCGCUGCAGGCUUCCCACUCUCGGGCACUGCCACACGGACUCUGGGCCGUGGAUAUCGAAGCCCCCUCUCUGCUGCCAGCCCCGCAGAGCUACCCACUGAGGGACCUUUCCCUGACGGUGUAGAAGACAUCUCAACCCUGCUGGCUGAUGUUGCCCGCUUUGCUGAGGGCUUGGAGAAGCUCAAGGAGUUUGUGCUGCGGGAUGGUGAGAAUCUCCCAGAGCAGCAUCCUCAAAACAGGAGGGGGAGGGCGGGGAGGUGGGGCAAGCCUUUCAUCCCAGCACUUAGGCAAGAGGAUCUCCAUGAGUUCUAGGGCAGCAUGGUCUGCACUUGAGUCCCAUCCUGGUCAGCCAGAAUCACAGUGAGCCCCUGACUCAGAAAA